rnacentral:rRNA from 1 species
GACGAACGCUGGCGGCGUGCCUAAUACAUGCAAGUUGAGCGCUGAAGGUUGGUACUUGUACCAACUGGAUGAGCAGCGAACGGGCGAGUAACGCGUGGGGAAUCUGCCUUUGAGCGGGGGACAACAUUUGGAAACGAAUGCUAAUACCGCAUAAAAACUUUAAACACAAGUUUUAAGUUUGAAAGAUGCAAUUGCAUCACUCAAAGAUGAUCCCGCGCUGUAUUAGCUAGUUGGUGAGGUAAAGGCUCACCAAGGCGAUGAUACAUAGCCGACCUGAGAGGGUGAUCGGCCACAUUGGGACUGAGACACGGCCCAAACUCCUACGGGAGGCAGCAGUAGGGAAUCUUCGGCAAUGGACGAAAGUCUGACCGAGCAACGCCGCGGGAGUGAAGAAGGUUUUCGGAUCGUAAAACUCUGUUGGUAGAGAAGAACGUUGGUGAGAGUGGAAAGCUCAUCAAGUGACGGUAACUACCCAGAAAGGGACGGCUAACUACGUG